UGGUUUGAUCAUGGCUCAGGAUGAACGCUGGCGGCAUGCCUAAUACAUGCAAGUCGAACGGAGUGAAGCCUUCGGGUUUCAUUCAGUGGCGAACGGGUGAGUAAUACGCAGGGAACCUGGCCAUGGCAGGGGGAUACACUCUGGAAACGGAGCAUAAGACCCCAUAGGCAGUAAGGCGGCAUCGCCUUACUGUUAAAGAAAGCUGAAAGGCUUUGGCGAUGGAUGGACCUGCGGUGCAUUAGCUUGUUGGUGAGGCAACGGCUUACCAAGGCGAUGAUGCAUAGCCGGCCUGAGAGGGCGGACGGCCACACUGGGACUGAGACACGGCCCAGACUCCUGCGGGAGGCAGCAGUAGGGAAUUUUCGUCAAUGGGCGCAAGCCUGAACGAGCAAUGCCGCGUGAGUGAGGAAGGUCUUCGGACUGUAAAGCUCUGUUGCCGGGGAAAAAGGGGAAAUGCAGGAAAUGGCAUUUCAUGGAUGGUACCCGGCCAGAAAGCCACGGCUAACUACGUGCCAGCAGCCGCGGUAAUACGUAGGUGGCGAGCGUUAUCCGGAAUGAUUGGGCGUAAAGGGUGCGCAGGCGGUCUGUUAAGUCUGAAGGCAAAGGGAUGAGCUCAACUCAUUUAUGAUUCAGAAACUGGCAGACUUGAGGACAGGAGAGGGCGGUGGAACUCCAUGUGUAGCGGUAAAAUGCGCAGAGAUAUGGAAGAACACCAGUGGCGAAGGCGGCCGCCUGGCCUGUGACUGACGCUGAGGCACGAAAGCGUGGGGAGCAAAUAGGAUUAGAUACCCUAGUAGUCCACGCCGUAAACGAUGAGGAGCAGGUGUUGGGAGUGAAAUCUCAGUGCCGAAGCCAACGCAGUGACUCCUCCGCCUGGGGAGUAUGCACGCAAGUGUGAAACUCAAAGGAAUUGACGGGGGCCCGCACAAGCGGUGGAGUAUGUGGUUUAAUUCGAAGCAACGCGAAGAACCUUACCAGGUUUUGACAUCGGAUGCGAAGGCGCAGAGAUGCGCUGGAGGCUAUCAUCCAGACAGGUGGUGCAUGGUUGUCGUCAGCUCGUGUCGUGAGAUGUUCAGUUAAGUCUGGCAACGAGCGCAACCCCCGUGGUAUGUUACUAACGCAUUUGGGCGAGGACUCAUAUCAGACUGCCGGUGACAAACCGGAGGAAGGCGGGGAUGACGUCAAAUCAUCAUGCCCCUUAUGACCUGGGCUACACACGUACUACAAUGGCGUCUACAGAGGGAAGCGACCCUGAGAAGGGAAGCGAAACCGGAAAAGGGCGUCCCAGUUCGGAUUGAAGUCUGCAACCCGACUUCAUGAAGAUGGAGUCGCUAGUAAUCGCGGAUCAGCAUGCCGCGGUGAAUACGUUCCCGGGCCUUGUACACACCGCCCGUCAAACCAUGGAAGCCGGCAACGCCCGAAGCCGGUGGCAUAACCUUUUAGGAGUGAGCCGUCGAAGGCGGGGCCGAUGACUGGGGUUAAGUCGUAACAAGGUACCC
rnacentral:rRNA from 1 species